rnacentral:rRNA from 1 species
UUGCAUCUCAAUAAGCGGAGGAAAAGAAACCAACAGGGAUUGCCUUAGUAGCGGCGAGUGAGCGGCAAAGCUCAAAUUUGAAAUCUGGCGUAUUCUGCGUCCGAGUUGUAAUUUGAAGAAGGAUACUUUGGGGUUGGCUCUUGUCUAUGUUUCUUGGAACAGAACGUCACAGAGGGUGAGAAUCCCGUGCGAUGAGAAGCCCAAUUCCGUGUAAAGUGCCUUCGAAGAGUCGAGUUGUUUGGGAAUGCAGCUCUAAGUGGGUGGUAAAUUCCAUCUAAAGCUAAAUAUUGGCGAGAGACCGAUAGCGAACAAGUACAGUGAUGGAAAGAUGAAAAGAACUUUGAAAAGAGAGUGAAAAAGUACGUGAAAUUGUUGAAAGGGAAGGGCUUGAGAUCAGACUUGGUAUUUUGUAUGUCUUGCUUUCGGGUGGGGCCUCUGCAGUUUACUGGGCCAGCAUCGGUUCGGGUGGUAGGACAAUUGCGAAGGAACGUGGCACUGCUUCGGUGGUGUGUUAUAGCCUUUGUGGAUACUGCCUGUCUGGACCGAGGACUGCGUCAUUUGACUAGGAUGCUGGCAUAAUGAUCUUAAGUCGCCCGUCUUGAAACACGGACA